UCUUUGAACUUAUGAAGCUCGCCCUCAAGAUCUUGAGCCUUCUUAUUGGAAGCAGAAACGGCCUCUGUUAAUAAAGUCAGGUCGUUCUCUUGAGUUCUAACAAGUCCGCGCAAUGCAUGAUUCCUUUCUCUCACGAUCUAGGUGGGCUAGCUGCUCCAUUUAGAGGGACAUUGAAUGCAAGGCAAGAUCAACAUCAUGUUUGCCCUCCAGACG
rnacentral:misc_RNA from 1 species